CUUCUAACAGAUCGUGCUCUUGCCUUUUAUACGAAAUAAAAUGAAAUUUGCAUUUAUUUUAACGUUUGAGUAUAUCGUAUAAAAUGGUAUGUCUGGCGAGAAAAGGUCGAAUUCUGUCUUGAGAUUGGGAAUAACAAGCAUUUUAAGGCAAGCAAAAAUUUGAUCGGUGAAUUUUACCGGAAGAAGAAUGUCAUAGAAGCUUUCUCGUGUUACAAAUACAAUUUUACAACACAAAGCUGGGCACAAAAAUUUCUUUCUCUUUCUCGAGUAUUUGAAUAUGCUAAGGCCAAUACAAAAUCCGUUAUUGUAAA